CCUACGGGGGGCUGCAGUGAGGAAUAUUGGUCAAUGGGCGGGAGCCUGAACCAGCCAAGCCGCGUGAGGGAAGAAGGUACAGCGUAUCGUAAACCUCUUUUGUCAGGGAACAAAGGCGGGGACUAGUCCCCGGAUGAGGGUACCUGAAGAAAAAGCAUCGGCUAACUCCGUGCCAGCAGCCGCGGUAAUACGGAGGAAGAGAGCGUUAUCGGGAUUUAUUGGGUUAAAAGGGUGCGCAGGCGGCCUGUUAAGUCAGCGGGAAAAGCCCGGGGCUCAACCCCGGCGAGCCGUUGAAACUGGCGGGCUGGAGUUGGAGAGAAGUACGCGGAAUGCGCGGUGUAGCGGUGAAAUGCUUAGAUAUCGCGCAGAACCCCGAUUGCGAAGGCAGCGUACCGGCUCCACACUGACGCUGAGGCACGAAAGCGUGGGUAUCGAACAGGAUUAGAUACCCGGGUAGUC
rnacentral:rRNA from 1 species